rnacentral:rRNA from 1 species
GACAGAGGGUGCAAGCGUUGUUCGGAUUCAUUGGGCGUAAAGGGUGCGUAGGUGGCGCCGUAAGUCAGGUGUGAAAUCUCGGAGCUCAACUCCGAAACUGCACUUGAUACUGCGGUGCUCGAGUACUGGAGAGGAGAUUGGAAUUUACGGUGUAGCAGUGAAAUGCGUAGAUAUCGUAAGGAAGACCAGUGGCGAAGGCGAAUCUCUGGACAGUUACUGACACUGAGGCACGAAGGCCAGGGGAGCAAACGGG